GUUACUGUUCAUUUGCUUUUUCGUCGUCGUCGUCGUCGGUAUCACGUGCCAAAAGCGUGUCUUAUUCUACAUUGGUUUUCACGUGACUUUCGUCGUGUUCACUUGAUCCUUUUUUCCCGUUCGUUUAGCGCAUCGUGCGAUUUCAGAUUGUUAGGCCUGUUCUCUAACCCUAGGUCAGACUCAAGCAUUGAGCCGCCGCUUCUCAUCUUCUUCUCUUCCUUUUCUUCUCUAUUCUCUCUGUCCAUUCCUCUAGGGUUAGAUACACCUCUUCUUCUCAAACUCUCUCCGUUCCGUUUCUCUUCCUCUCUUUCUCUCCCCAGCUCUUACUCGUAUUUAUUCUGCAUUUCUUGACCUGGCUCUUGCAUUCUUUAUCUGGGCCUCUCAGCAGCCGAGCUUUUCGCACACUUCCGCUACUUUUCAAUCCGUCCUCAAAUUUCUCUCCAUGGCCCAUCAAUCACUUAUUUGCUCCUUGCAGGCAAGAAAACUCAUAUUGCUUUCUCGAUUUUCCAACAACUUCUCCAUUCUGCAGCUUUCAAAAUCCAAUCUGAAAUCUGCAAUUCACUUCUCGCUACUCUGUCUUCCGAGGGGGGAACCUAAAGGAUGCCCGCAAGGUGUUGGAUGAAAUGCUUCAUAGAGGCUUCGCUUUGACUACAGUUGGUUUCGGUGUGUUCGUAUGGCGGUUUUGCAGAAAUGCUCAAGUGGGACAGAUGUUGAAGUUGUUGGAUGAGGUUAUUCUCCUUCUCUCCUGCUUUGAGUUUUUUUUUUCUUUUCUCUUUUUUUUUUCCUUUUCUUUCACCAACACCGUCUUCUUCAUAUUGCGACGCCCAUUGCUCUCUCUCCCUCAGUGGGUGGUGGUGGAAUGGUGGCCGGCGGUGGGCGAAUGUUGACCACUAAUUAUUAACAUAACACUCUAAGAGCCAAAGGCGUUACUGUUCAUUUGCUUUUUCGUCGUCGUCGUCGUCGGUAUCACGUGCCAAAAGCGUGUCUUAUUCUACAUUGGUUUUCACGUGACUUUCGUCGUGUUCACUUGAUCCUUUUUUCCCGUUCGUUUAGCGCAUCGUGCGAUUUCAGAUUGUUAGGCCUGUUCUCUAACCCUAGGUCAGACUCAAGCAUUGAGCCGCCGCUUCUCAUCUUCUUCUCUUCCUUUUCUUCUCUAUUCUCUCUGUCCAUUCCUCUAGGGUUAGAUACACCUCUUCUUCUCAAACUCUCUCCGUUCCGUUUCUCUUCCUCUCUUUCUCUCCCCAGCUCUUACUCGUAUUUAUUCUGCAUUUCUUGACCUGGCUCUUGCAUUCUUUAUCUGGGCCUCUCAGCAGCCGAGCUUUUCGCACACUUCCGCUACUUUUCAAUCCGUCCUCAAAUUUCUCUCCAUGGCCCAUCAAUCACUUAUUUGCUCCUUGCAGGCAAGAAAACUCAUAUUGCUUUCUCGAUUUUCCAACAACUUCUCCAUUCUGCAGCUUUCAAAAUCCAAUCUGAAAUCUGCAAUUCACUUCUCGCUACUCUGUCUUCCGAGGGGGGAACCUAAAGGAUGCCCGCAAGGUGUUGGAUGAAAUGCUUCAUAGAGGCUUCGCUUUGACUACAGUUGGUUUCGGUGUGUUCGUAUGGCGGUUUUGCAGAAAUGCUCAAGUGGGACAGAUGUUGAAGUUGUUGGAUGAGGAAAGAAAAUAGGAAGAAGAUGAGAAUAUUACUAAGAGAAUCAAUAGGAGGAGCAGUGGUUCUCCUCUUGCACACGAAGAAGCUAGAGUAUUGGGAUGGUGUAAUACUGGUGGCUCCAAUGUGUUUGUUUAUCCAUAUUGGCAGCAAAGAAGUUUUCUUGCUGCAGUAUCCUUGGAGUUGAUAUUGAUCGUGACUAUCUAAUCCCCUACAUCUCCACAACAUUCUUGAAGACAAAUGAUUCAGCAAGUCUCAGCUCAUGCUUUUACAUGCAUCUUAUCGUUUUACAAAUGAAGCAUCAUAUCUAGCUCUAGCUCUGUGUAUCCUCAGGUAAGACCUGUUCUGGCUUGUUUCUUUGAUUUGUGAGUCCUUUUAUGGUAAGGAAUCUACAGUUACAGGUCUGUCUUGAUUUUGGGUUGGCAAUUCCAAAACUUAGUUCCCAUGGGAUGAUAUCUUCAGUAAAAGAACUCUUGGAUCUUGCUCCAGCAUGGAAGAUAUAUCAGCAUCAGCACAAUAAACAAAUGAGCACUCCUGCGAUGGCUCAGUUGCUGUUGAACACCUUUUACUACAAGCGCUUCUUUGCUUACUAUGCUUUUAUGUUCUGGGGGAGCUUGAUGGUCAAGGGAAGGGGUGUGUCUUCACAUGUGACGCCGUUGGAUUCUAUGAAAUGGUUGGAUAUAGUUAACAAGGUUUUGGUUCUACCUUGACGAUGCCUUUCUUGGAUAACCAGCUAAAGUCUCCUAGCCCUCACUUAUUACUUGCCAAGUAUGUUGUUACGACCUGGUAAAGACAUGUUUUACUUCUGCAACAGAAAGAGAUAUCUACACCGGUGACAAGCUGGAAAUUUUUGUCUUGAAUGCUGAGGGAACUCGAUGUGAAUGUAUGGAACUGAGGAAGGAUUGACGUGUUGUUGUAGUAUGCUGGAUCUAUGGGUUGCCACAAGUGUGGAAUGCUCCUAGCAUAAUUCGAGAGCUUUAAUUUGGAUGUUGGCUUGGGCUGUGUUCCAUGGUUCUUAGUUAUCAACCCUUGGAUUUGGAUUCUAUGAAGAUAGACGCGGAGCAUGAAGCUGAUAUUUUGUUACCCAUUUCCGAGUUUUAUUUUCUUUGUUAAAUUUUUAUACAUCUAUGUUUGUCUUUAAACUAUGGCAUACCGAAUACCCACUUUGCUAUUCAGUUGCAAAAAGCACAUGGCUAAUGAUAACUUUAUAAGCCUUCUUGAAUUAUGAUUAUAUAUGAAUUAGACUCCUCUUGACAUUUAUACAUUUAAA